rnacentral:rRNA from 1 species
UACCAGCACCCCGAGUGGUCGGGACGAUUAUUGGGUCUAAAGCAUCCGUAGCCGGUUCUACAAGUCUUCCGUUAAAUCCACCUGCUUAACAGAUGGGCUGCGGAGGAUACUAUGGAGCUAGGAGGCGGGAGAGGCAAGCGGUACUUAGUGGGUAGGGGUAAAAUCCGUUGAUCCAUUGAAGACCACCAGUGGCGAAGGCGGCUUGCCAGAACGCACUCGACGGUGAGGGAUGAAAGCUGGGGGAGCAAACCGG